rnacentral:rRNA from 1 species
GUCGACGAUACCUUCGGGUAUAGUGGCGCACGGGUGAGUAACACGUGGGAAUAUACCUUUCAGUGGGGGAUAACAUCGGGAAACUGAUGCUAAUACCGCAUACGCCCUUAGGGGGAAAGAUUUAUCGCUGAAAGAUUAGCCCGCGUCCGAUUAGCUAGUUGGUGAGGUAAUGGCUCACCAAGGCGACGAUCGGUAGCUGGUCUGAGAGGAUGACCAGCCACACUGGGACUGAGACACGGCCCAGACUCCUACGGGAGGCAGCAGUGGGGAAUAUUGGACAAUGGGCGCAAGCCUGAUCCAGCCAUGCCGCGUGAGUGAUGAAGGCCUUAGGGUUGUAAAGCUCCUUCGACGGGGACGAUGAUGACGGUACCCGUAGAAGAAGCCCCGGCUAACUUCGUGCCAGCAGCCGCGGUAAUACGAAGGGGGCUAGCGUUGUUCGGAAUUACUGGGCGUAAAGCGCACGCAGGCGGUUCGAUUAG